rnacentral:rRNA from 1 species
CGGAUCGGAGUCUGNAACCCGACUCCGUGAAGCUGGAUUCGCUAGUAAUCGCGCAUCAGCCAUGGCGCGGUGAAUACGUUCCCGGGCCUUGUACACACCGCCCGUCAAGCCAUGGGAGCCGAGAGUGCCUGAAGUCCGUGACCGCGAGGAGCGGCCUAGGGUAAGACCGGUGACUGGGGCUAAGUCGUAACAAGGUAGC